AUCGGCUAACUCCGUGCCAGCAGCCGCGGUAAUACGGAGGAUCCGAGCGUUAUCCGGAUUUAUUGGGUUUAAAGGGUGCGUAGGCGGCCUUUUAAGUCAGCGGUGAAAGUCUGUGGCUCAACCAUAGAAUUGCCGUUGAAACUGGGGGGCUUGAGUAUGUUUGAGGCAGGCGGAAUGCGUGGUGUAGCGGUGAAAUGCAUAGAUAUCACGCAGAACCCCGAUUGCGAAGGCAGCCUGCCAAGCCAUGACUGACGCUGAUGCACGAAAGCGUGGGGAUCAAACAGGAUUAGAUACCCUGGUAGUCCACGCAGUAAACGAUGAUCACUAGCUGUUUGCGAUACACUGUAAGCGGCACAGCGAAAGCGUUAAGUGAUCCACCUGGGGAGUACGCCGGCAACGGUGAAACUCAAAGGAAUUGACGGGGGCCCGCACAAGCGGAGGAACAUGUGGUUUAAUUCGAUGAUACGCGAGGAACCUUACCCGGGUUUGAACGCAUUCGGACCGAGGUGGAAACACCUUUUCUAGCAAUAGCCGUUUGCGAGGUGCUGCAUGGUUGUCGUCAGCUCGUGCCGUGAGGUGUCGGCUUAAGUGCCAUAACGAGCGCAACCCUUGCCACUAGUUACUAACAGGUUAGGCUGAGGACUCUGGUGGGACUGCCAGCGUAAGCUGCGAGGAAGGCGGGGAUGACGUCAAAUCAGCACGGCCCUUACAUCCGGGGCGACACACGUGUUACAAUGGCGUGGACAAAGGGAAGCCACCUGGCGACAGGGAGCGAAUCCCCAAACCACGUCUCAGUUCGGAUCGGAGUCUGCAACCCGACUCCGUGAAGCUGGAUUCGCUAGUAAUCGCGCAUCAGCCAUGGCGCGGUGAAUACGUUCCCGGGCCUUGUACACACCGCCCGUCAAGCCAUGGGAGCCGGGGGUACCUGAAGUCCGUAACCGCAAGGAUCGGCCUAGGGUAAAACUGGUGACUGGGGCUAAGUCGUAACAAGGUAGCCGUACCGGAAGGUGCGGCUG
rnacentral:rRNA from 1 species